CACGGGAGCAAUCCUGGUGGCGAGUGGCGAACGGGUGAGUAAUACAUCGGAACGUGCCCAGUUGUGGGGGAUAGCCCGGCGAAAGCCGGAUUAAUACCGCAUACGACCUAUGGGUGAAAGCGGGGGAUCGCAAGACCUCGCGCAAUUGGAGCGGCCGAUGUCAGAUUAGGUAGUUGGUGGGGUAAAGGCCUACCAAGCCGACGAUCGGUAGCUGGUUUGAGAGAACGACCAGCCACACUGGGACUGAGACACGGCCCAGACUCCUACGGGAGGCAGCAGUGGGGAAUUUUGGACAAUGGGGGCAACCCUGAUCCAGCCAUGCCGCGUGUGUGAAGAAGGCCUUCGGG
rnacentral:rRNA from 1 species